rnacentral:rRNA from 1 species
CCUACGGGCGGCAGCAGUGAGGAAUAUUGGUCAAUGGGCGGAAGCCUGAACCAGCCAAGUAGCGUGCAGGAUGACGGCCCUACGGGUUGUAAACUGCUGUUAUACGGGAAUAACGCGCCUUACGUGUAGGGCUUUGCAUGUACCGUAUGAAUAAGGACCGGCUAAUUCCGUGCCAGCAGUCGCGGUAAUACGGAAGGUCCGGGCGUUAUCCGGAUUUAUUGGGUUUAAAGGGAGCGUAGGCCGCAUGUCAAGCGUGCUGUGAAAUGUCCGGGCUCAACCCGGGCCUUGCAGCGCGAACUGGCGUGCUUGAGUCCGCGGAAAGCAGGCGGAAUUCGUCGUGUAGCGGUGAAAGGCUUAGCUAUGACGAAGAACCCCGAGUGCGAAGGCAGCUUGCUGCAGCGGAACUGACGCUGAUGCUCGAAAGCGCGGGUAUCGAACAGGAUUAGAUACCCCAGUAGUC